rnacentral:misc_RNA from 1 species
GAUGAAGAACGUAGUGAAAUGCGAUAAGUAAUGUGAAUUGCAGAAUUCAGUGAAUCAUCGAAUCUUUGAACGCACAUUGCGCCCUCUGGUAUUCCGGGGGGCAUGCCUGUUCGAGCGUCAUUAUAACCACUCAAGCUCUCUCUUGGUAUUGGGGUUCGCGGUUUCGCGGCCCCUAAAAUCAGUGGCGGUGCCUGUCGGCUCUACGCGUAGUAAUACUUCUCGCGAUUGAGUUCGAUAGGUCUACUUGCCAGUAACCCCCAAUUUUUACAGGUUGACCUCGGAUCAGGUAGGGAUACCCGCUGAACUUAAGCAUAUCAAUAAGCGGAGGA